rnacentral:lncRNA from 1 species
CUUAAAGGAGUCUCUUUAAAAGCUUCCAGAGCCGAUUAUAUUUUGGAUUGUGUUUCAAAUCACCCUUCCCCCCCAGGUUUGGUGGGUCCUCAGACAAGUUCCCAGAAUAAAUUAGACAUAACGGUAGCAGGAUUUAUUAUUAUUUUUUUUUUUUACUUGAGAAGGAGGAAGGAAUAAAUGACACCAAUUUCUGUAAUGGAAAGAAAAAAAGAAAAAAGUGUAUAUCGGAAACUGCUGCUGAGUGACUCAUGCUGCCAGACAAACGGAACCUCACUCAUCACUCCAUCUUCAUCCUCCUCUGGUUACUUCUCCUUCCACCUGGAGAUGCCUUGAGUUUGACUGACUACGCAUGGUGUGAGAGGAGCAUUCCUGGUAUUGAAAAAGCUCCCAGAAUGGACGUCAAGGGGUUGUUCUGUUGAAGCAUGGCAGGUGCAUCACCCUUAAGCCACAG